rnacentral:rRNA from 1 species
UUGGGAAUUUUGCACAAUGGAGGCAACUCUGAUGCAGCAACACUGCGUGAAGGAUGAAGGUUUUCGGAUUGUAAACUUCUUUUAUCUGGGAAUAAUCUUGAAGGUACCAGAUGAAUAAGCACCGGCUAACUACGUGCCAGCAGCCGCGGUAAUACGUAGGGUGCAAACAUUAUCCGGAUUUAUUGGGCGUAAAGAGCUCGUAGGUGGUUUUGCAAGUAGGAUAUUAAAUCUCCCGGCUCAACUGGGAAGCUGUAUCCUAAACUGCUUAACUUGAGGUAUGUAGGGGCAGAUGGAACUUACGGUGUAGCGGUAAAAUGCGUAGAUAUCGUAAGGAACGCCGAUGGUGAAGACGAUCUGCUGGACAUCACCUGACACUGAGGAGCGAAAGCGUGGGUAGCGAUCGGG